AUACAUGCAAGUCGAGCGGACCGACGGGAGCUUGCUCCCUUAGGUCAGCGGCGGACGGGUGAGUAACACGUGGGUAACCUGCCUGUAAGACUGGGAUAACUCCGGGAAACCGGGGCUAAUACCGGAUGCUUGAUUGAACCGCAUGGUUCAAUCAUGAAAGGCGGCUUCGGCUGCCGUUUACAGAUGGACCCGCGGCGCAUUAGCUAGUUGGUGAGGUAACGGCUCACCAAGGCGACGAUGCGUAGCCGACCUGAGAGGGUGAUCGGCCACACUGGGACUGAGACACGGCCCAGACUCCUACGGGAGGCAGCAGUAGGGAAUCUUCCGCAAUGGACGAAAGUCUGACGGAGCAACGCCGCGUGAGUGAUGAAGGUUUUCGGAUCGUAAAGCUCUGUUGUUAGGGAAGAACAAGUACCGUUCGAAUAGGGCGGUACCUUGACGGUACCUAACCAGAAAGCCACGGCUAACUACGUGCCAGCAGCCGCGGUAAUACGUAGGUGGCAAGCGUUGUCCGGAAUUAUUGGGCGUAAAGCGCGCGCAGGCGGUUUCUUAAGUCUGAUGUGAAAGCCCCCGGCUCAACCGGGGAGGGUCAUUGGAAACUGGGGAACUUGAGUGCAGAAGAGGAGAGUGGAAUUCCACGUGUAGCGGUGAAA
rnacentral:rRNA from 1 species